GUCAUCUUCAUGCUCUGGAACCAUGAAAACGAUAUCGUAUUAAUAGACUAAACAUUCGGUGGGGGCGAUGCGCCAUCGCCGGCGCAUCCAUCACCAAUAGGGGAGGCUCCCAAUCGCAUCAGACCCAUAACCCAGUUCGCGCUUCAAUUAAGCAGCAGGGUUUUAGUGUUUUCUAAGCCUUCCCUGUCCUCCUAUCCGUGGCAGCGCCAGGUCGGAUAUCAAUCUAACAGCCCUCGCAAUUACCAGAUUAUAUCUAUAUAGUCUCUACUUUAUCUCUAAUUCCUCUUUAUCAGCGGUUCUGUGACUGCUGACAUUGGUUUGAGUUCCCUUUUGUGGCAGUGUCAAGAUGACUGUAUCUGGACUAACUGGUAGUCCCUCAAGGUGUUGUCCCCGGGUACCAGUGAAUGGCUUAGGCUCAUUUUGCAGGCCAAGGUCUGCUUUUCCUAUUGCUGGAGAACCUAAAGAUAAACUAAACUUUCUCCGUCUAGAUAGAUGUUAUUGGUUUGGUUCUGUAAAAGGAUGCAAUGCAAAGCAAACUCUCCUGGUCAAGUGUGCAAUGGAUGCUUCCUAUGGUGGUGACAUGACAAAUGAUCAACCUGUUGUUUUUCCUAGAAUUCAUGUGAGGGACCCAUACAAACGGCUUGGGAUCAGCAGGGAGGCUUCUGAAGAUGAAAUUCAAGCUGCAAGGAACUUCCUUAUACAUAAAUAUGCUGGGCACAAACCCAGUGUGGAUGCAAUUGAAACUGCUCAUGACAAAAUAAUCAUGCAGAAGUUUUAUGAUAGGAAGAACCCAAAAAUUGACAUUCGGAAAAAGGUUAGGGAAGUAAAGCAAUCCCGAGUUGUGUUGGCUAUCGCAAGCAGGUUUCAAACUCCAUCGACACUUGUCAUCAUUAAAACAUCAAUUGCAUUUUUAGUACUUGGAGUUCUCACUGUCCUCUUUCCAACUGAAGAAGGUCCAACCCUACAGGUAGCCAUUUCCUUAAUGGCUACUAUAUAUUUUAUAUAUGAUCGGCUGAAGAGUAAAAUCAGAGCCUUUCUUUAUGGUGCCGGAGCUUUUAUUUUCUCAUGGCUGUUGGGAACGUUCUUGAUGGUAUCUGUGAUUCCACCACUGCCUUUCAUUAAAGGACUAAGGAGUUUUGAAGUUACUACUUCAUUGGUAACUUAUGUGCUACUUUGGGUUUCAUCUACCUAUCUGAAGUAGUGCCAAUUUUCUCCUAGUACUAGAUCCCAUUGCAAGAACUCAGUUUUGUUGUGACUUGUGAAUGGUCAGUGGUUCAUCAAUCUUGCAUUGUUGCUUUAAGUUGCAUCGUCUUCUUAACUGUAGCAUCGUUGAGCAUGUUAAAAUUUUCGUGAAUGUUCCAUUAGGAAGAAAAGAUUCGUGGAAAUGACUGUUUUGCUCUUUAGAGAAAGGAUGUAAAACUAGAUGAAAGUAAAAGAUGAAUUUAUGCAUUUAUUUCAUGUUUCUUGCAUUCUCCUUCCCAUUCAUAUUUUUAUCAUUAUUUUGUUGUCGUAACAAGUGAUAUAUCCCACAAUCCAUCCUGUGGUCGAGCAUUAUAUUGUGGUUGAUUUAGCGAGUUUCGUUUGCUUGUUAUGAGGCCACUUGGUGAGUGGUCUCCUAUGAUUAUGCUACGGAAAGCUGUGUGUGGGGCUAAAUUUGCUAUUAAAAGCUUCUGUCUACUUUCUGGUUUACUUGAGCUGCGAAAAGGCACCUUCAACUGGUGGUUUAGGAUGGCCUAAUAUGGUUUCUGUACUCCCUGAAGAUCUUUAUGGACCAAUUUUGGACACAUCAACAAAGGCUACUUCAAUGUCUUAUUGGGCGACUUGCUCUUUGCACUUUACUUCACUUCAACCACAUUUUAUUAUGUGUACAGGCACAGAAUUGUGAGAUCUUUUGGCCUGAGGGACCCCCUCUGUUUCCAGCGACACAACCCUUUUAUCCACCACCUUUGGUAGUGUCAAGUUCGUUGUUUUCUGUCCAUCAAUUGCUUUGGUUUUGUAGGAAGAACUAAUCAAUGAUCUGAUUUCCAUUCUUCGAUGAAGGCUAAACAAAUUAUGAUAGAAU
rnacentral:misc_RNA from 1 species